rnacentral:rRNA from 1 species
AGAGCUCAAAUUUGAAAGCUGGCUCCUUCGGGGUCCGCAUUGUAAUUUGCAGAGGAUGCUUCGGGAACGGCCCCCAUCUAAGUGCCCUGGAACGGGCCGUCAUAGAGGGUGAGAAUCCCGUCUGGGAUGGGGUGUCCGCGCCCGUGUGAAGCUCCUUCGACGAGUCGAGUUGUUUGGGAAUGCAGCUCUAAUUGGGUGGUAAAUUUCAUCUAAAGCUAAAUAUUGGCCGGAGACCGAUAGCGCACAAGUAGAGUGAUCGAAAGAUGAAAAGCACUUUGAAAAGAGAGUUAAACAGCACGUGAAAUUGUUGAAAGGGAAGCGCUUGCGACCAGACUCGCCCGCGGGGUUCAGCCGGCAUUCGUGCCGGUGUACUUCCCCGCGGGCGGGCCAGCGUCGGUUUGGGCGGCCGGUCAAAGGCCCCUGGAAUGUAACGCCUCUCGGGGCGUCUUAUAGCCAGGGGUGCCAUGCGGCCUGCCCGGACCGAGGAACGCGCUUCGGCUCGGACGCUGGCAUAAUGGUCGUAAGCGACCCGUCUUGAAACACGGAC